CAAACCGGAUUACACUGAAACCAACUAGCUAGCCCACCCUUAAAAACCAAGCAACCUCUAUAAAUAACCCCUGAUU
rnacentral:tRNA from 1 species